UACGAAGGGGGCUAGCGUUGCUCGGAAUCACUGGGCGUAAAGCGCACGUAGGCGGCUUCUUAAGUCAGGGGUGAAAUCCUGGAGCUCAACUCCAGAACUGCCUUUGAUACUGAAGAUCUUGAGUGCGGGAGAGGUGAGUGGAACUGCGAGUGUAGAGGUGAAAUUCGUAGAUAUUCGCAAGAACACCAGUGGCGAAGGCGGCUCACUGGCCCGAUACUGACGCUGAGGCACGAAAGCGUGGGGAGCAAACAGG
rnacentral:rRNA from 1 species